GUCUUUGUAGUAUAAUAAAUACCCUGGUCUUGUAAACCAGAGAAGGAGAACUCACUAACCUCCCUAAGACU
rnacentral:tRNA from 1 species